CCUACGGGUGGCAGCAGUGGGGAAUAUUGCACAAUGGGCGAAACCCUGAUGCAGCGACGCCGCGUGAGUGAAGAAGGACUUCGGGUUGUAAAGCUCUAUCAGCAGGGAAGAUAAUGACGUUACCUGACUAAGAAGCCCCGGCUAACUACGUGCCAGCAGCCGCGGUAAUACGUAGGGGGCAAGCGUGAUCCGGAAUUACUGGUGGUAAAGGGUGCGUAGGUGGCAGGGCAAGUCAGAUGUGAAAGCCCGGGGCUCAACCCCGGUACUGCCUUUGAAACUGUCCAUCUGGAGUGCAGGAGAGGAGAGUGGAAUUCCUAGUGUAGCGGUGAAAUGCGUAGAUAUUAGGAGGAACACCAGUGGCGAAGGCGGCUUACUGGACUGUAACUGACACUGAGGCACGAAAGCGUGGGGAGCAAACAGGAGUAGAUACCCGAGUAGUC
rnacentral:rRNA from 1 species